rnacentral:rRNA from 1 species
UGGGGAAUUUUGGACAAUGGGCGAAAGCCUGAUCCAGCAAUGCCGCGUGUGUGAAGAAGGCCUUCGGGUUGUAAAGCACUUUUGUCCGGAAAGAAAUGGCUCUGGUUAAUACCUGGGGUCGAUGACGGUACCGGAAGAAUAAGGACCGGCUAACUACGUGCCAGCAGCCGCGGUAAUACGUAGGGUCCAAGCGUUAAUCGGAAUUACUGGGCGUAAAGCGUGCGCAGGCGGUUGUGCAAGACCGAUGUGAAAUCCCGAGCUUAACUUGGGAAUUGCAUUGGUGACUGCACGGCUAGAGUGUGUCAGAGGGGGGUUAGAAUUCCACGUGUAGCAGUGAAAUGCGUAGAGAUGUGGAGGAAUACCGAUGGCGAAGGCAGCCCCCUGGGAGUAACACUGACGCUCAUGCACGAAAGCGUGGGGAGCAAACAGGAUUAGAU